ACCUCGCCAUUCGUUCUCUCAGGUGCUUGCCUUUCUCCCCAAACCCAGUUUUCCAUUCUGUAUGCGAUCAAGGUUCGGUGUUUGGUUUCUCAAGAAAAAGAUCAAAGCUUUUAUUGUUUUUUAUUAGCGAUCAAGGUUCAAAUUUUGAUUCUUAUGCAAAAAGAUCAAAGCUUUGAUCUUCUAUGGUAUUUGGUAUUUUGUGGAUUUUAAAAGGUUAAUUAUAUUUCUGAUUGGUUAUUUAAUGUCCCUCAUACUAACUUGUUUUUGUAACUGGUUGCAGCUUUCUGGGUUUUGUUGGAUG
rnacentral:misc_RNA from 1 species